CGGUGGAGCAUGUGGUUUAAUUCAAUGCAACGCGAAGAACCUUACCUACACUUGACAUGUUGAGAAGUUACCAAAGAUGGUUUCUGUGCCUUCGGGAACUCAAACACAGGUGCUGCAUGGCUGUCGUCAGCUCGUGUCGUGAGAUGUUGGGUUAAGUCCCGCAACGAGCGCAACCCUUGUCCUUAGUUGCCAGCAUUUAGUUGGGCACUCUAA
rnacentral:rRNA from 1 species